rnacentral:rRNA from 1 species
GACGAACGCUGGCGGCGUGCCUAAUACAUGCAAGUCGAACGCUGAAGGAGGAGCUUGCUUCUCUGGAUGAGUUGCGAACGGGUGAGUAACGCGUAGGUAACCUGCCUGGUAGCGGGGGAUAACUACUGGAAACGAUAGCUAAUACCGCAUAAUAGCAGUUGUUGCAUGACAACUGUUUGAAAGGUGCAAUUGCACCACUACCAGAUGGACCUGCGUUGUAUUAGCUAGUUGGUGGGGUAACGGCUCACCAAGGCGACGAUACAUAGCCGACCUGAGAGGGUGAUCGGCCACACUGGGACUGAGACACGGCCCAGACUCCUACGGGAGGCAGCAGUAGGGAAUCUUCGGCAAUGGACGGAAGUCUGACCGAGCAACGCCGCGUGAGUGAAGAAGGUUGUCGGAUCGUAAAGCUCUGUUGUAAGAGAAGAACGAGUGUGAGAGUGGAAAGUUCACACUGUGACGGUAUCUUACCAGAAAGGGACGGCUAACUACGUG